GAUGAACGCUGGCGGCGUGCCUAACACAUGCAAGUCGAGCGAUUUACUUCGGUAAAGAGCGGCGGACGGGUGAGUAACGCGUGGGUAACCUGCCCUGUACACACGGAUAACAUACCGAAAGGUAUGCUAAUACGAGAUAAUAUACUUUUAUCGCAUGGUAGAAGUAUCAAAGCUUUUGCGGUGCAGGAUGGACCCGCGUCUGAUUAGCUAGUUGGUAAGGUAACGGCUUACCAAGGCGACGAUCAGUAGCCGACCUGAGAGGGUGAUCGGCCACAUUGGAACUGAGACACGGUCCAAACUCCUACGGGAGGCAGCAGUGGGGAAUAUUGCACAAUGGGCGAAAGUCUGAUGCAGCAACGCCGCGUGAGCGAUGAAGGCCUUCGGGUCGUAAAGCUCUGUCCUCAAGGAAGAUAAUGACGGUACUUGAGGAGGAAGCCCCGGCUAACUACGUGCCAGCCGCCGCAGUAAGAC
rnacentral:rRNA from 1 species